CUUGGUCAUUUAGAGGAAGUAAAAGUCGUAACAAGGUUUCCGUAGGUGAACCUGCGGAAGGAUCAUUAUUGAAAUAAACCUGAUGGGUUGCUGCUGGCUCUCUAGGGAGCAUGUGCACGCCUUGUCAUCUUUAUAUCUCCACCUGUGCACUUUUUGUAGGCCUUUCCAGGUCUAUGUCGCUUCAUUAUACCCCAAUCGUAUGUCAAUAGAAUGUUGUGCCUAUAAUAAUAUAUACAACUCUCAGCAACGGAUCUCUUGGCUCUCGCAUCGAUGAAGAACGCAGCGAAAUGCGAUAAGUAAUGUGAAUUGCAGAAUUCAGUGAAUCAUCGAAUCUUUGAACGCACCUUGCGCUCCUUGGUAUUCCGAGGAGCAUGCCUGUUUGAGUGUCAUUAAUAUAAUCUCAACCCCUUUUUCUUUUUUGUUGAAGGGUUUUGGAUGUGGGGGGUUUGCUGGCCUUCUGAAAGAGGGUUCAGCUCCCCUGAAAUGCAUUAGCAGAAACGACCUUGCUCAUUGGUGUGAUAACUAUCAACGCUUAUGAAUGUGAGGGGCAGUUCAGCUUUCUAACCGUCUUUGGACAAUUCAUCAUUAAUGUGACCUCAAAUCAGGUAGGACUACCCGCUGAACUUAAGCAUAUCAAUAAGCGGAGGAAAAGAAACUAACAAGGAUUCCCCUAGUAACUGCGAGUGAGGCGGGAAAAGCCCAAAUUUAAAAUCUGGCGGUCUUUUGGCUGUCCGAGUUGUAAUCUAGAGAAGUGUUAUCCGCGCUGGACCGUGUACAAGUCUCCUGGAAUGGAGCAUCAUAGAGGGUGAGAAUCCCGUCUUUGACAUGGACUGCCAGGGCUUUUGUGAUGCGCUCUCAAAGAGUCGAGUUGUUUGGGAAUGCAGCUCAAAAUGGGUGGUAAAUUCCAUCUAAAGCUAAAUAUUGGCGAGAGACCGAUAGCGAACAAGUACCGUGAGGGAAAGAUGAAAAGAACUUUGGAAAGAGAGUUAAACAGUACGUGAAAUUGCUGAAAGGGAAACGCUUGAAGUCAGUCGCGUUGUCCAGGGAUCAACCUUGCUUUUGCUUGGUGCACUUCCUGGUUCGACGGGUCAGCAUCAAUUUCGACCGGGGGAAAAAGGCUUGGGGAAUGUGGCUGUCUUCGGGCAGUGUUAUAGCCCCUUGUUGUAUGCCUCGGUUGGGAUUGAGGAACGCAGCGCGCCUCAUGGCCAGGGGUUCGCCCCUUGAUACGCGCUUAGGAUGCUGGCAUAAUGGCUUUAAGCGACCCGUCUUGAAACACGGACC
rnacentral:rRNA from 1 species